rnacentral:rRNA from 1 species
AUUGAACGCUGGCGGCAUGCCUUACACAUGCAAGUCGAACGGCAGCACGGGGGCAACCCUGGUGGCGAGUGGCGAACGGGUGAGUAAUGCAUCGGAACGUGUCCUCUUGUGGGGGAUAACCAGUCGAAAGAUUGGCUAAUACCGCAUGAGAUCGAAAGAUGAAAGCGGGGGACCGCAAGGCCUCGCGCGAGAGGAGCGGCCGAUGCCGGAUUAGCUAGUUGGUGGGGUAAAAGCCUACCAAGGCGACAAUCAGUAGCUGGUCUGAGAGGACGACCAGCCGCACUGGGACUGAGACACGGAGCAGACGCCGCCGGGAGGGAGCAGUGGGGAAUUGUGGACAAUGGGCGCAAGCCUGAUUCAGCCAUGCCGCGUGUGUGAAGAAGGCCUUCGGGUUGUAAAGCACUUUCGGACGGAACGAAAUCGCGCGGACGAACAUUCCGCGUGGAUGACGGUACCGUAAGAAGAAGCACCGGCUAACUACGUGCCAGCCGCCGCGGUAAUAC